UCUUGACUGUUUCUAUCUCUUUUUGCUUAAUGUUUGCUUUUUUUUUUUUUUUUUUUUCCCUAGCAGUUAAGUUUGAUGUUAAUGGAAAACCCAUUUAAAACAAUGAUUACCCUCUGAAGAAAAAGUGAGUGCACUCAAGUGGAAACGGAAGAUUUAUCGAUCAGUUUUCAGAUUUUAGCAGUAUUUGUUGUUUCUUUGGACAGGCCUUUCCUUGCUUCACAGCCUGAUCCUGUCCACACUCCACUCACACAGCUCACUGGGCAGUACAGUUUUUGUUGCCUUUCUUGAUGAACCUGAUCUCCUUCUGUGAUGAAGUGACGCG
rnacentral:lncRNA from 1 species